CCAGGCCUACCCCGGCCUUUCCCCUCAUUCUGGGCCGGGAAAAACAUGUGGAAAAUAUCCACGAGAUGGCGCAGGAUGCAGCGCGUGCGGCGGCGGGCGACUCAAAGGCGACGGCGACGGCGAGGUGGCGCUCUCCCCUCCGGUGGCCACCUUAUCACCGAUGAAACGGGCUAUUGUGAAGGUGAUGGGGUGAGUGUACUGGCUUGAGGGGUUUGUGAGGCUUAUGUUCUUGGAUGACCAGACAUUCUAAUUAUGAGAAACGUCAAGGGCCUAAUUGUGAGGGUGGCAUCCUCACCCUGUGGCAUUAAUUGAUGCUGCUGCUAUAUUUUUGCAUGAAUUCAGACAUGUUUGUGAAAUCAUUAUCUUUGAGCUCUAGGCCUUGAUGAUACUACAAUAUCAUUGUUUUAAUGAUUAAUCCAUAGUGCAAUUCUUGCACUGAGACAUCA